AUAUUGGACAAUGGGCGGGAGCCUNAUCCAGCCNUGCCGNGUGCAGGAAGACUGCCCUAUGGGUUGUAAACUGCUUUUGUACAGGAAGAAACACUCCCUCGUGAGGGAGCUUGACGGUACUGUAAGCAAUAAGGAUCGGCUAACUCCGUGCCAGCAGCCGCGGUAAUACGGAGGAUCCAAGCGUUAUCCGGAAUCAUUGGGUUUAAAGGGUCCGUAGGUGGAUGAUUAAGUCAGAGGUGAAAUCCUGCAGCUCAACUGUUCAAUUGCCUUUGAUACUGGUUGUCUUGAAUUAUUGUGAAGUAUUUAGAAUAUGUGGUGUAGCGGUGAAAUGCAUAGAUAUCACAUAGAAUACCGAUUGCGAAGGCAGAUUACUAACAAUACAUUGACACUGAUGGACGAAAGCGUGGGGAGCGAACNAGGAUUAGAUACCCUGGUAGUCCACGCCGUAAACGAUGGAUACCAGCUGUUCGGAUUUAUCUGAGUGGCUAAGCGAAAGUGAUAAGUAUCCCACCUGGGGAGUACGUUCGCAAGAAUGAAACUCAAAGGAAUUGACGGCU
rnacentral:rRNA from 1 species